UGGGGAAUAUUGCACAAUGGGCGCAAGCCUGAUGCAGCCAUGCCGCGUGUGUGAAGAAGGCCUUCGGGUUGUAAAGCACUUUCAGCGAGGAGGAAGGUGGUGAACUUAAUACGUUCAUCAAUUGACGUUACUCGCAGAAGAAGCACCGGCUAACUCCGUGCCAGCAGCCGCGGUAAUACGGAGGGUGCAAGCGUUAAUCGGAAUUACUGGGCGUAAAGCGCACGCAGGCGGUUUGUUAAGUCAGAUGUGAAAUCCCCGGGCUCAACCUGGGAACUGCAUUUGAAACUGGCAAGCUAGAGUCUCGUAGAGGGGGGUAGAAUUCCAGGUGUAGCGGUGAAAUGCGUAGAGAUCUGGAGGAAUACCGGUGGCGAAGGCGGCCCCCUGGACGAAGACUGACGCUCAGGUGCGAAAGCGUGGGGAGCAAACAGGA
rnacentral:rRNA from 1 species